AUCCAAAUAUCCGAUGUGACAGGUGCUAAACUUUAGUAGGGUGUAUCCAAACACCUUAGGGCAAGUACAUUACUACACGUCAACGGUCUCAUAGGUCGUCUCAUGCAGUGCCACGUAGGAUUUUUGAUGAUGUGGAGGAGAGAGAGCGAGGAGAGAGAAAGAGGUCGUUGCUUCGCGAAACAACCACCUCAUGAGCUGGACUACGAGAUAACUUAAUAACCAUUGUACGAGUUAUUGUUGCCAUGUAACUCAUGAUAUUUUAUUUUUUAUGCACAAAUUAAGGAAUUAUAUACCACUACCAGAUAACUUAUAGGACAAUCCAUUGUACGAGUUAACUAUUGAAUCGUGUCAAGAUUACGUGUCAAUGCAGACCGUCUAUUGAACGACACCGUCCUUAGAACGCGUGCUCGCGGCCUGAGAGCAAGUUUAAUAACGCAGCUAGCAAGCGGGCUGUAAGGUUUCUCUCAGCUUUUUUCUAGCCCACUCGUACAAUGGUUAACUCUUCACCAUUAAUACAUGACCCACAAGUCAUUCUCACCAAGUUUUUUGGUUCCUGUGCCCAAGUCGGCUGUAAGCUUAUAGCCCGCUUCUCCUCUCUCACCUCUUCUCUCUCC
rnacentral:lncRNA from 1 species